CAAGGUUUCCUGCGCAACGUUCAUCGGCGCAGGGUUAGUCGGCCCCUAAGGCGAGGCCGAAAGGCGUAGUCGAUGGGAACCAGGUUAAUAUUCCUGGGCCAGCGGGUAGUGACGGAUUGCGGACGUUGUACACUCUUACUGGAUUGAGUGUGCAGCCAAGCCGUCCCUGGAAAUAGCUCCCGCAUGAGACCGUACCCCAAACCGACACA
rnacentral:rRNA from 1 species